UGGGGAAUAUUGGACAAUGGGCGCAAGCCUGAUCCAGCCAUGCCGCGUGAGUGACGAAGGUCUUCGGAUUGUAAAGCUCUUUUUGGCGGGGACGAUAAUGACGGUACCCGCAGAAUAAGCCCCGGCUAACUUCGUGCCAGCAGCCGCGGUAAUACGAAGGGGGCUAGCGUUGUUCGGAAUUACUGGGCGUAAAGCGCACGUAGGCGGACUGAUAAGUCAGGGGUGAAAUCCCGGGGCUCAACCUCGGAACUGCCUUUGAUACUGUUAGUCUCGAGUCCGGAAGAGGUGAGUGGAAUUCCUAGUGUAGAGGUGAAAUUCGUAGAUAUUAGGAAGAACACCAGUGGCGAAGGCGGCUCACUGGUCCGGUACUGACGCUGAGGUGCGAAAGCGUGGGGAGCAAACAGGAUUAGAUACCCAAGUAGUCCCUGAGCGGGCUGGCAAGGCGCAU
rnacentral:rRNA from 1 species